rnacentral:misc_RNA from 1 species
CCUUGAAAAAUAAUUAUUAAAAUCAAAUUAUCAAAAUUGGUUAAUGAAUUUUUCUUUAAAUUAUUUUUUAAUGAGUCAAAUCCAAUUCUAAUUUGAUUUUGUCAUUUAAAAAGCUAGAGAGAUUUGCAGCACGUCCCCUGCAACUUGCAACAUGAAUGGUACUGAUGAAGCCAAUCCCUGUUCAGGAAGGAAAAGGGCAAACAUACGAUGCAAAAUUUGCCGAGUCCUAAUGAAGAAUAGAAGGAUCUACCACCUCUGCCGAGGUCGGCAAAAGCCAGAGACUGAUUUUCUAUAUUUACCAUUCAAUGUACAACAAAACCUACACGCUACAUCAAUUAAGUCACAUCUCUUUUCUUGCAGUUCCCAAACUCCUCACAAUUAGAAUCAUGCCUUCCCCAGUAUUCUGCAACCUACAUUUUGAUCUGCCAAAUCAGCUUCUCAACUUCUCCUUUUAGAUGGGAACGAAUGGUUAGGAGCCCAUAUUAGCUGCAAUUUGUUUAUCAUGGUUUGGACAUAAUGGCACAUGUUGGUUGGGCUCCAUCUGUAUUGUUAUAAAAGAAAAUUUUCCAGUUCCGUGACAUGUGCCACAACUGGUCCCUAGAACUCUUGGGAGUCCAACUCAGGUUUUGAUGGAUAUUCAAGACCCUGAAGUUCGGGCAUUCGCCGCAAAUCUUCUUCUGAAUAAGCCGGAAUGAACCAGUAUCGUUUAUCUGCCCCAAAUACCUGAGGGACAUACACCAAAAUGUUUAUUAGAGAACAAAACUGGAUGGAGAUUAAUCAAGUGCUACCAGCAGAGGAAAAGCUUCCACAAAAUAGGCAAACGCACAGAUUGAACUCAAAAGGAGGAAGGUUUAGCAACUUCACAAUUAACUUUAAUAAGGUAAAUUAAAUGUGAGUUACAUCAACACAGCCUUAACAAAAGAUUAGAUUACAUGAUAAACAACAAUUGCUUAUGAUUCAACAAGAUAAUGAACUCAUGGCAGACUGCCAAAAAAUUUUCAACAUCACUGUAACCUUGUUUUAACACAUUCCUUUUAUCUUAAGUGACACGUGCAUCUGUUCAUAGCUUUGGCCUACAAUGGCAGCCAUGCAAACACAUGGAAGCUGAGCAAGAAAAACCAUUCUGCAUGAACCAUGUCCACUCAUUCAGAUUAUUUUAAGUUCUACUCAAAUAUCAAAACAGGUGGACCAAUUCUCCUUCUUCACACUUGCCAAAAUGAAGUCAAAAUUUUUCUUGUUCACAACACAGUACCAGACAGUUAUUCACCUCAAGAUUAAAAACCCCGAUUGGAGUUCAUACUCCAUAAAAGCAGAAAACAAUUAUUUGAAUCACAGUUUGAUGACAUGGCAGCGCUUAUAAUUUAUUUCACAACUUGCAGUGCAAAACCUCUCUCUGAUCCCUAUUCAAGUCAAACGUUUCUAUGAUGUUUCGUCCAUUUUUCAGAGAUGAGUGCUGCAUCCCCAUCAUAAGAAGAUGAAGAAAGCAUUAGAGUACAUGAACCAUGAGAUAACUCCUGUGCUGGGGUUUCUCAUAUUUGUCAUAGAUGAGUUUGCCUAGAAUGCAUACAGAAAGUAAUAGUCCCUCAAGUAUAAUAAACAGAAAAGGGGUUUAAACUUUUAAUUAGACUAGAAUUGCAGAGAGUUGUGAGUUUGACCAAUUUUGAACAUAUCAUUUCUCAGAUUUCAUACAGGGCAUUCACGAAAGAAAGCCAAGCAGAGAAUAGCAAUAAACUGCAAUAAAAAGACCACCUGUUCAAAAUUCUUCCUACGACCAAGGUCAUAGCGCCAUUUCGGCGUGGUUUUCUUCUCAUAUGCCUCAAUAGUAGUCGUAUUAACAGAAACCAAUGAUAUGUGCAUGACUAGAAAUCCCAGAACACUAAAUGCAAAUGCCAGAUUCAAAACAAAGGCAAGAAAUGCGGUUGCAAGGGUCCCAGGAGUUCCAGGAAUGUCAUUAUCACUAAAGAAAGCUAUAAAUUGUGGCAGCAGUGACAAAGUCACAAGACUUGUCUCAAGAAAUGUGUAGAACAAAAAUAGAAGAAAAUAUUUAUAAUUUAAUGCCCCAACACAAUUUACGACCCAUACACAAUGAUGGUCCAUCUUUAGCACACACCUCCCACAAACAGAGCAAUGGUGGCAACGAGGUGGUUUCAGCUGGUUGCACUUCCGGCAGUACCGGAUUCUUUGAUUGGAUGGAUUGGCCGGCAGGCCAUUGAAAUCUGAGGCAUUUAAUGGGUAAGCCUCACCUCUUUCCUCUUCAACAGCAGGCCUCCAAUUAGAAGGCACACUACCAGGAUCAGUUAAAACAACAGAAAAGUAACUCCAUAAUAGCAUCACCAACUGCAAAUUUAAACAAAAUCUUCGCCUUUAAUUCCAAUUUUUAGUACACCCGAUCAAAUACUUUUUAACACUAUUCGAAGCUAAAAAAAUUCUAAGAUCCGCAACUCCCUUUGCCAAUUAAUUAACAAUCCAAGGAAAUUACACAAUUAGAAAAUGUCCACGAGCUACCGUAAUUCCAUUACUUCAUAAAAAAGAGAAAGUUCCCAUUUCUUUUUAAAAAGAAAGGGAGCUGGAAUCAAUAUUGUCUAACCAAAAACUCAAUGUGAUAGAAAAAUUCCCUUAACCGGAAGGCAGGCAACCAAAAAGCUUGAAAAAGAGUUGGAAAACUAGCAAGGAAAAAGAAAAGAAAACUUACCAAACAAUGAAAUGGGAUCAAGAGAGCAAGAGCAGUGACAGAAUCAAGCCCGCUAUCAUACAAAGCGGGGCCAUAAUUGGUCAACACAACGGCAUAAUAGGUGACACCCACAACCCCAAGCACCAACAGGAUCAUGAUCGAGCCCAGGCCACGUAGGGCCGUACAAAACUUGAAUACGUUCCAAGCCAUAGCAGCUCCAGAUCUAUGCAUAUUUCGUGUAGUGUUGUGAUUUAUGAUCUGUGAAUCUAGGGUUUAUCGGAUUUGGGAUUCCAGGUGGAGCGUGGAAUCCAUGUUAGGACACGAGGUCUGAGAAGCAGGAGAGAGGCAGGGAAGGAGAGAGUGUUUUUCUUUUUUAAUUUAUUUAAUUAUAAUUAAAUUAAUAUAAAAUAGAGAAAUAAUAAGUGAUGGUAAAGUGGAAUAAUUGCUUGAAAGAUUUUAAAAGGUCUUUG